rnacentral:rRNA from 1 species
AACGUAGGUACCGAGCGUUAUCCGGAUUUACUGGGCGUAAAGCGUGUUCAGGCGGCCUGGCAAGUCGGGCAUGAAAUCUCUCGGCUCAACCGAGAGGGGCUGUCCGAUACUGCUGGGCUUGAGGACGGUAGAGGGUGGUGGAAUUCCGCGUGUAGUGGUGAAAUGCGUAGAUAUGCGGAGGAACACCAGUGGCGAAGGCGGCCACCUGGACCGUCCCUGACGCUCAAACACGAAAGCUAGGGUAGCGAACGGG